GUGGUCGGCUUCCAGUCUAACCGAAAGCAGGCAAAAUACUAGUGUUUUACAAAUAGCCUCUGCUCAUCUCACCUCCUCAACUAUCUCAACCCAAUAAAAAAUCGCCCAACCGAUUUAAAUUUAAUUUAAUAAGCAGGAAGGUUUAUUUGUGAUGCCUUACAUAAGCGAGAGCGAAGCAUCGCGGUUUAAAGUAGGCGUUUAACAAAAGAUCUACUAUACGUAUUAGACUUAGACAUAAACAUAAAAAUAUAUACACGUAUAUGAAUAAUUGUUUCAGCGAAUUGCAAACUUGAAUAAGUUAUCCUGUGGUUUACCGAUUGUGGCGCAGUUAUCGUUCAUAACAUUGUGUAUGUUAGUAAUAUACUAUGCCUACAUGACGAAGCCCGAGGCCUGAGAACUUCAUUUUUUACGCGUAUUAUAUUUCUCAAAUCCUGUACUCAUGUUUUCAGGGAUGUCUUUCCUCAUAGACCGAGUAGGCCGUUUUGUAUAAGGCGGGGAAAUCAUCAUGGACACCCAGACCGAGUAAGCCCUGGUAAAAUUGACGAAGAGGGGGUGGAAAUCUUUCGUAGGCCUUCAUUUGGUGUGCAAUAAAGAAUACUCAUGACAUGAGACGCCACUACGCGAUGUAUAUUGCACCCUCUCGCUUCAACAAUGGCAACAGUUAUGCUUUUCGAUUUUAUUGAUUUAAUAAUACAGGGUGUUUUGAUUUAAGAGUCAUUAGAGCGGGCCGGGACUUUUUCCUGUGUGUUACUCCGGAAAAUGACAUAACCAAGGGAUAGCCCAUAUUUAUUGGGUUAUGAAAGGCUGACCUGGCAUAAGGCUGAAGUCUGCUAGUGGAGUAUAGUGCUGAAGAUAAUGAUUUAGUGUCUAAUAUGUAUACCUUUACAAGUAACUUAUGGUGGUAUGAUUGAUUUCAAAAAAUUCUGAUUGUAUGAAGUCUGCAUGCAUUAUUUAUGGCUAGCUGUUAUAAAAUAUUGAAGGCAUUCAUUCACAUAUCUGACAAAUAAUUUUGAAACUAUAUCAAAUUAUUUAGAAAUGUGCCAGAAAAAUUAAAGCAAAUUCAUGUAGGUGUAAGCAAUUUAAUUUAGUUUUAUGUAAUAAAUCAAAAUCCUUAGCGACAGAAUAUGAUGUAAAUUGCAUAGCAUUGUAAAACAAUUUAAAUAAAUGAAAACAAAAGGUAAUAUAAUAGGGAAUUAAAUUAUGGAUGCAACAUUGCAUGAUAAUUAACAAUAAAUAUUGAUGACUCAUUGUUCCAAUUUAUUAUAACAACAUCAGAAAGCAUUGUGGUUUCAUUUAUUGUAUGUUUAAGUAUUGCACAUACAGCCAUUGUUUAGGUUUCUGAAUAAUUACAAAAUAUCAAGAAUACCUAGGCUUCUAGAAAAAUCAAUUGAAUAUAGCUCAUGCUACUUGCAUGCUAGAUAAGAAGAUAUUUAGUGUAACACAAUUAAAUAAAAUUAUUUAUUUUGAAUCCUUGUGAGUAUUACUCUAAUAGGAUUUUAUCAAAUAAUAUCUGUUCCCAUGUUUGAGGGUGCUUUGUGGACCA